rnacentral:rRNA from 1 species
CGUAAAGACGCAUGCAGGUGGUUCGUUAAGUCAGAUGUGAAAGACCCGGGGCGUCAACCUCGGAAUUGCAUUUGUAAACUAGGCGGACGUAGAGUACUGUAGAGGGGGGUAGGAAGUUUCUAGGUGUAGCGGUGAAAUGCGUAGAGAUCUGAAGGAAUACCGGUGGCGAAGGCGGCCCCCUCGGACAGAUACUGACACUCAGAUGCGAAAGCGUGGGGAGCAAACAGGAUUAGAUACCCUGGUAG